UUGAAGCCCUACCAAAGGGGCUCUUCCUCUUCACCGCUCGUUCACACACACGCAGACACGCCGCCCUCUCCAUUCUCCUGAGCCGCUCUCUCCCCAUCCUUCGAUUCGUUCGUCAAGCUCCGGUGGAAUCGUGGCCGACGGCCCGCGACGACACAGGGUUUAGGAGUCCCGGCGGCGAUGGCGGCGAGGCUGGCGCAGCUGCGCGCUAGGCGGAGCUCGCCUCGAAGCACGGCGGCGCGUACUACAAGGAGGUCAUGGAGAAGAACAAGCAGUACGUCGUGCAGCCCCCCACCGUCGAGAAGUGCCAGGAGCUCUCCAAGCAGCUCUUCUACACCCGCCUCGUAAGGUGAAGUACUCCUGCCUCUCCGUUGUGGUGUACCGUUCCGUCGUUCCGAUUUGCCAAAUGGGUUCUGUUGUGUGUGGUGCCACGUGAUCUGUUCGUGCGCGUAGUAAAUAGUAACGGGCUUUGUUCUGACUGAUUGUUUGAUGGGUGUGAUGCAAUGUGGUUAAUAUUUUCUCCCUGCAAUUAGCUACUGUCCCAAUCACCUAGUAUGAUGAGACCUGGUUGGGUCCAUACCAGCAAUGGUUGGACCAAGGCUUUGUGUGUGAAAUUCCGUGAGUGGAUUAAGAUUGUUAGUUCUGUGUAGUGUAACUGACCUUUUGUAGGUAGUAUAGAAUAUUUAUGUUCUUCAUUUUCGAGGGCACCAAUGCUUGGCUUGUCCUCCUAGGUUUGUUCGUGGCUUCACUGUUUAUGACUUCACACUUAAUAUGACUUAAUCAUGCGUCUUAUAGCUUCUAGGCAAUGUGAUAAAGCUCUCAUUUAUAUGCAAUGUCUGUAUUUCCAUGUUGUCCUUCAAGAUUAGUCCUGCCAAUUCUGUUAAUUCAAGUUUGUUUUAGUGGAUUAAAUACAAUUUUGGAGCUUUAUAGCAGAAGGGACCUACGGAACAAUGCUCUUAUGCUCGAUUACCAAUAUCUGUAACUAUGUAUUCCUAGUAAUUUUUCUGCAUCUCGAUGGAUCCAUCUUGUAUUGAUACAUAUGGAUAGAGCACUCUCAGAUCGAGACAUGGUUGGGUUAGGGUUCGAUCUGGAAUUUGAGGCCGGGGGUUAGGGUUCAGGAAUUUUGGCUGGACGGCCGACGACGAGGCCGUGAGUAGAUGCUCCAAGAUCUAUGUGGAGGUCUACACCUCCUUCCUCUCCCUCAGCCUCGACACGGCGGCUGUGCGCCUCCCUUCUCUUGUCUGCGUAGAACCUGUUUGAGAAAAUGCAUGUGUGGCUUGUUCGAAGUAUUGCUUACAGGUAUCAUCGCUUGCUCCUAUGUUGCAUCCAGGAGAAGCUAUAUAGCAAGGAGAUAACGAUGGCCGGCCAGGAGAUGGUGAAGGAGCAUGUGGACUAGGUGUUGCUUGAGCCCGCCAACGCGGACGUUGCCUUCCUUGUGGUCAGUGACCCAUUUGAGUAACAUAUGCUUUGCUUCUAGUCCCCUUUUUUUGAGCUGAUUGUGUUAGUUUUAGAUCGUAUGUAGUUCUUUUUUCAGUUAGGUGAAACCCUGUUUUAUGUGUAAACAAAUAUAUUUCUUCAGUUAGACAACAUCCUAUUUUAUUAUGGAAGAUGAGAUAAAUUAAUAAUUAUAUCAAGUUGGAUGCGUACAGAGAUGACAUAUCUGCAAAACUUGAGGUAUAUUAUUCUCUAUAUUUUCUUUCCAAAGCAUGCUGCAAUGCAACAUGAUUAGGCAAUAAUCAUCUUUUCAAUUAGGCAGUACUACUCUUAUCAUUAUGCAAUGCUACUAUUUAUGGUCCGGUUGAUGAUUUUCUAGAUUGCAAGUUACUUGAUUAUUUUAGUGUACGGGUUAUCUUGAACUACUUUUUUUCAUGUUUAUACCAUUUAUAAAAUUGUUUUAGUGACAGAUGCUCUAUGCAAUCUUAGGCCCUCUUUGGCAGGGCUCCAGCUUCGGCUCUUUUGAUGGCUUCUGCUGGAGCCCUGCCAAACAGGGUGUUCCACAAUGGCUCCGUUGAAGAGGCCGCAGAUUUUCCGCUAAGAGGAGCCGUGAGACGGAGGAGCCAAAAAAAAAACUGGCUCCUCGCAGCUCCUCCGCCUAGCCUGCCAUGUUUGCUCCCAUGGCCUCUUCGUGUGCUCUGCCUCCUCGCGGCAAUUGACGUCCGCAGCCUCCUGCUGCUUACCCUCGGUGAAGCUUGAGACCGUGGUGGUGGGCGGCGGCGGAGGCGGGCACGGCCGGCGGUGGGUGCGGCUGGCUGUGGGAAGCCGCGUGGGGGUGGGCGCGGGAGGCCGCGCGGUGGCGGGCACGGUCAGCGGCGGGAGCCCGUGCGGUGGGGGCGUGGGCGGCAACUGGAGGCUGAGCGGCGGCUUGCGCAGGAGGCCGAGCAGAGGGCGGCUGCUGGAGGCCUAUCGGCAGGGAGCUUGGCAGAGAUGGAUCGAUGGAGCCGGUGGAUGGAUAAGGAGGAAUGAGGAUGGAAGAAAAAGAAAAGAAAGAAAAGAAAUAGAAAGGAGAAAAAAUAGAAAAUAUAAGGGUAUUAUGGACAUGUUAUCAUUUUGAACAACUGGAGAAGCCGUUUUACCAAACGUUUUGCUAACCAGACAAUUCGGAGCCAAAAAAAGCAGUUCCACCAGAGAAGCCGGAGCCGUUUUAGCCACAGUCGGAGCCGCACCAAACAGGCUCUUAAUAUAUGCAUGAUCUCGCUACCCUACCUGUCCCCCUUUUUGCUAUAUGAGAGACUUUUUCGAUUGGCUAGUUCGAGCUGCUAUGUAAUCAGUAAUAAUACUCAUUUGUGGGAUUUUCAGAAUUCAUGAUUCUCAAAAGCCAUUGUAAUCCUAUUGUUUGAAUGUAUAGAAUAGUUGCUUUUCCCA